rnacentral:lncRNA from 1 species
ACAAAAAUACCUAACAUUCAUUUCUUGCCCACUCGUUUAUUGGACUCUCAGCCAGGUAGCAUUUAUUAGGCCUUUACUGUAAGCUGCUUAUAUGUGAUACUUGAUUUUGGAGACACCAACUUCAUUAAAUUUUAAAGUUCAAGGAAUUUCCGUUAGAAUAAACCACUAAGACAAACAAAUCAUUAUGUCCUGCUGUGGUAAAUACAAUCACAAAAGUAUUCAAUUUCUUUAAAACAAAGGAAAGGCAGAUGUAAAUGUUGUGGAAUGGUCAGAAAAAGUCUCCCCAAGGGAGAUGAUACUUUUGAAGGACAUCUGAAGAGAGGAGUUGCUAGAUAAACAUGUAGAGAGAAAGCGCAAAGAAGAAAGCAUGUGAAAAGACAUGAAAGCCUUCCAUCAGAGCCUGAUUCAUAGCCCAGAUUCAAUUUAGACAGUUAUAAUUUUUUCAAUUCUAAGAUAUAUAUUUUUUCACAUUUUUACACCAUGGAAGUGAAGGUGCAUUUUACAUUCAGUGAUGUCUUACAGUCACUAGCAGUCAGAUGACUAUCGUUAGAAAGUUGUAUAAAAACUUCCACUGAUGCCUUCUAUUAAGGUCAAGCAAGAGCCACGAUCCAUUCAUCUCAGAUUUGCUGAGACACAGAUAGAGAUGAUGGAGAUGGAAAUGGAGGGGAUGGACAGAAGAGUGGGAGGGACAGAAAGAGGGUGAGAGAGUCAGGAGAGACUGAAGAAGAGAGAAAACGUAUCUGCUAUGAAUUUCUUUGAAUUCUCUCCUAUAUUUCUUUUCUUCCUCCUUAUUUUCACUGCUUUACUUUUCAGCUACCAUCCACAAAUAGCUUCUAACACUUCCUGAUGGACUUGAGUAUGACUUUCAGCUUAAAUUAAUUAUAGAGAAUAAUUUCGGUGUACCUUCAACAAAGUAGAAAUUAAUCUGCAAAAUAAAUCACAAAUUAAUUUAAAAUGCCAGCGAAAAUUCUGUCCCUUCUAGAAUGCUGAUUUAUAAGUAUAUGUAUAAUCAACAAUUGAUACAUUUCCUGAUGCUCAUUAUGCAUCAAACCCUAGGUGGUUCUAAUCCUGUCAAGAGCGAGGGCUCUGCUUUCCUAAAAUACCAAUCCCAGCAUUUAUUCUACAUUACAUUUAUAGCAGCAUGAGGCAGAAUACAGGAUAUUCUGGUUCUUCCACUGGGUCAUAAAUUAUUGAAACACGUUUUUAGUGAUUAGUGGUUGAAUCCACAUUCACUUUUAACUCAGUCUUCUCAAAAUUAUUCUUUUUUCACAUUAAUUGAACUAGAAGUACAUACUCACUACAUUUCAAUAUUUCUUUUUCAUAUUUUCCCUGAAAGUGAAAAACUAUCUUUCUUGAUGCUAUUUGCUUCUGAAAAUUAACAAAGAAUCUUACACAUGUUAUGGGAUUAGUAAAUUACUGGUAAAUGUUAUGUAUAUUAGAAAAUUGGGAUGCCUGGGUGGCUCUGUGGUUGAGCCUCUGCCUUUGGCUCAGGGCAUGAUUCCAGGGUACCAGAACCAAGUUCUGCUUGGGGCUCCCCACAGGAAGUCUGCUUCUCCCUCUGCCUGUAUCUCUACCUCUCUCCCUGUGUCUCUCAUAAGUAAAUAAAUAAAAUCUUUAAAAAAGUAUAUUAGAAAAUUUAAUUUUUGAAAAUGUAAACACACAUAAGCAGUGUUACUUGAUAAAGAGUAUAUUAAAAGUUGAGAGACUCAUAAAUUCAGGUUGAGAAUAAAAUUUUUUUGUCAUUCAUUGCACAAAUAAAACCCAUAAACAAAUAUUAGCAGGAUACAUCUAAUCAAAUCACCUAAGAUGAAACAUAUCUAAAGAUACCUGACUCUGAUAUAUAGGUAGUAAUCAAAGACACAGAUAUUAAAUUUAAAACUUUCACAAUUUUAUUUAUUUAUCUAUUUAUCUCUCUAUUUAUUUAUUUAGGGAGUGAGCAGAAGGGAGGCAUGGAGGGGGGGGCGGAAUCUUAAGCAGGCUUGCUGCCCAGCACAGAGCCCCACAAGGGGCUCAAUUUCAUGAUCCUAAGAUGAUCUGAGGUGAACUCAAGAGACGGUCACUUAACUGACUGAGCCACCCAGGUGCCCCUAAAACUUUCACAAUCUUAAUUAAUUACAAAAUUAGAAUGCAAUUAGACAAAAUACAUAAAAUAGCACAUGGGUCGUUGAUUAUGUAGAUUUGACAUUUUUCUCAUGAACAAUCACAAAUAAAACCUGCUUGUAUUAUUAACAUAACACAUGAUUUUAACAAUAAGGAAGAAUAAUAAAUAAUAAGGAAGGACCCUGAUCAAUUAAGAUUUAUAUUGAGGAAAUGAAAUAAUUAUGUGUGUAAUAAUGAAGUACAUAUAUUUGGGGAGUGUGGAUCUACAAGUGGCAUUGCAUGCUAAGAGAGGUUCCCAUAUAAUUUAUACUCAAAAGCAAAUGUAAGAAAUGAAGUCAGAUUAAGAGUGAACUGUCGGGGUUUGAAGAUGAGCCUAAGAGUUUCCUAUUAAAAUCAGAUGA